AUUGAACGCUGGCGGCAUGCCUUACACAUGCAAGUCGAACGGUAACAGGCCGCAAGGUGCUGACGAGUGGCGAACGGGUGAGUAAUGCAUCGGAACGUGCCCAGUAGUGGGGGAUAGCCCGGCGAAAGCCGGAUUAAUACCGCAUACGACCUGAGGGUGAAAGGGGGGGAUCGCAAGACCUCUCGCUAUUGGAGCGGCCGAUGUCAGAUUAGCUAGUUGGUGGGGUAAAGGCCUACCAAGGCAACGAUCUGUAGUUGGUCUGAGAGGACGACCAGCCACACUGGGACGGAGACACGGCCCAGACUCCGACGGGAGGCAGCAGUGGGGAAUUUUGGACAAUGGGCGCAAGCCUGAUCCAGCAAUGCCGCGUGCAGGAAGAAGGCCUUCGGGUUGUAAACUGCUUUUGUCAGGGAAGAAAUCUUCUGGGUUAAUACCUCGGGAGGAUGACGGUACCUGAAGAAUAAGCACCGGCUAACUACGUGCCAGCAGCCGCCGUAAUAC
rnacentral:rRNA from 1 species